rnacentral:lncRNA from 1 species
GGGUAAGUAAGUGUCCUGCAGAGACUUCUUCAAAAAGAUGAACCUGAUAGCAAAUCCAAUGCAUCUGAAAGUCUGCGAGGCAAUAUAUUUGAGAUGGCAGAGAGUUUGAGAGUUGUUAGCGAAAUAACACAGAAAUCUAGAUGAAGAAAAUAAUAAAAAUUAACCAAAGGUGGCACUGGAAACAAAUAGCAAUUGCAGGAGAUGGCAUGGCUUGGCCAUGAACAGUGUUCACGUGGUUAUAAUAAUGCAAAAAAAAAUCAUCUAAAUAAAAAUCUGGUAUGUGUAUGUUAGGAGGGUGGGGGAAUGGGAAAGGAUGUUCCAGGAGAAGGUAGAAGCAAGCUCAAGCCUCAUCUUCCAUGGUACACAGUAAAGAGAUAAUAAGCAGCCAGGCAUGAGCCACCGCACCCGGCCUAUAUUCUAAAUUCUUAAGGUACUUCAACUUCUCUUGGCAUUCAGUCUAAACAAUGAGUGCACUGAAAAGCCUACUAUCUGUUAAUUAUUUCUCUACUCAAGUACAGCACAAGAGGCCUUAGGCAAACGAGGGGAGCCGAAAGCUUUUUAUGCAGACCUCUAAAGUCAGUGUACUCUGCCUUUGAUUUCUUUGAUUUUAUUUACAAGCUUCCAUCCCUUCUCAGAAAAUAAUAACCAAAAAAAUAAAACUGGCACAGUGAAGUACAUUCUCCUCCCAUUACAUGAACUAGUUCCUAACAGUUACAGGCAAGAGGUUGCAGAUGAAGAACUGACUUCCCAUCGGUUUCCCUUGUAACUUCUCCAGAGACUCAUCUAUACGGGAAAUCCAGUCAUCUCAAACUCAAAAUGUCACAAAGAAAAAACUUGUAUCAUUCGGCUGGCCCCCAGCCACUGUCUCAAACCAGGUUCUGCUGAAAGUUGUUCCAGC